AAUAGAUCCGUAACUUCGGGAAAAGGAUUGGCUCUGAAGCCUGGGCACUUCGACCCGGUUCGCAACUCGCGGCGGACCGCAAGGGACUGGACCCCUCACGGGGACUGGGCCCGAGCGGACUGCCGUGCCGCGCGGCCGGGAGUCCUCCGGGGCGUUCGUGGUGCGUUGAACAGGCAAUUCAGAACUGGAGCGGACAAGGGGAAUCCGACUGUUUAAUUAAAACAAAGCA
rnacentral:rRNA from 14 species